rnacentral:ncRNA from 1 species
CAGCUAACGUUAAUUAAUAGCGUCCUUAUACAGAAAUGUAUAUUGAAAACCUUGUUAACUCAGGGGAUAUCCUAACGUAGAGUCGAGGACAAUCCUGAGCGAAGCUCAGAGCAUUCUGAGAACGUGCAACGACUAUCGAAACCGCAGAGAAAUCUGAAAGGGAGUAGAGUAGGGUCAAGUGACUCGAAAAGCAAGGCAUCCUAACCCAAGGGAAGGAUGAUGAUAUAGUCUGGUCUGCAUGGAAACAUGCAG